rnacentral:rRNA from 1 species
CCUACGGGUGGCAGCAGUGAGGAAUAUUGGGCAAUGGACGAGAGCCUGAACCAGCAACGCCGCGUGAAGGAAGAAUGCUUUCGGGUUGUUAAAUUUCUUUCAUAUGGGCAUAAAAUGUUACGCUAGUGGAGUUUUGAGCCACCCAUAACUACGUGCCAGCGGCCGCGGCAAUACGUAGGUGGCAAGCGUUAUCAGGAUUUAUUGGGUGUAAAGGGCGUGUAGGCGGGAGGUCAAGUCAGAUGUGAAAACUCAGGGCUCAACCCUGAGUCUGCAUUUGAAACUGGCUUUCUUGAGUGCUGUAGAGGUGAGCGGAAUUCGGGGUGUAGCGGUGAAAUGCUUAGAUAUACGGAAGAACACCGGUGGCGAAGGCAGAUCACUGGACAGUAACUGACGCUGAGGCUCGAAAGUGUGGGGAGCAAACAGGAUUAGAUACCCGUGUAGUC